rnacentral:rRNA from 1 species
UACGUAGGGUCCGAGCGUUGUCCGGAAUUACUGGGCGUAAAGAGCUCGUAGGUGGUUUGUCGCGUUGUCCGUGAAAACUCACAGCUCAACUGUGGGCGUGCGGGCGAUACGGGCAGACUGGAGUACUGCAGGGGAGACUGGAAUUCCUGGUGUAGCGGUGGAAUGCGCAGAUAUCAGGAGGAACACCAGUGGCGAAGGCGCCACUCUGGGACGUUACUGACGCUGAGACGCGAAAGCGUGGGGAGCAAACAGG